UCCAGACUCCUACGGGAGGCAGCAGUGGGGGAUAUUGCACAAUGGGGGAAACCCUGAUGCAGCGACGCCGCGUGUGGGAAGACGGUCCUCUGGAUUGUAAACCACUGUCCCCAGGGACGAAGAUGACGGUACCUGGGGAGGAAGCUCCGGCUAACUACGUGCCAGCAGCCGCGGUAAUACGUAGGGAGCGAGCGUUGUCCGGAAUUACUGGGUGUAAAGGGAGCGUAGGCGGGGAUGCAAGUUGGGUGUCAAAACUACCGGCUCAACUGGUAGUCGCACUCAAAACUGCAGCUCUUGAGUGAAGUAGAGGCAGGCGGAAUUCCUAGUGUAGCGGUGAAAUGCGUAGAUAUUAGGAGGAACAUCGGUGGCGUAAGCGCUUUACUGGGCCGUAAUUGACGCUGAGGAACGAAAGCCAGGGUAGCAAAUGGGAUUAGAUACCCCAGUAAC
rnacentral:rRNA from 1 species